rnacentral:rRNA from 1 species
GAGACAGCAGUCGCCACGGUAAUACGUAGGUCCCGAGCGUUGUCCGGAUUUAUUGGGCGUAAAGCGAGCGCAGGCGGUUAGAUAAGUCUGAAGUUAAAGACUGUGGCUUAACCAUAGUAUGCUUUGGAAACUGUCUAACUUGAGUGCAGAAGGGGAGAGUGGAAUUCCAUGUGUAGCGGUGAAAUGCGUAGAUAUAUGGAGGAACACCGGUGGCGAAAGCGGCUCUCUGGUCUGUAACUGACGCUGAGGCUCGAAAGCGUGGGGAGCAAACAGGAUUAGAUACCCCAGUAGUCCCUGUCUCUUAUACA